rnacentral:rRNA from 1 species
UACGAAGGGGGCUAGCGUUGCUCGGAAUUACUGGGCGUAAAGCGUUUGUAGGCGGUCUUUUAAGCCAGUGGUGAAAGCCUGGGGCUCAACCCCAGAAUUGCCAUUGGGACUGGAAGGCUAGAGAAUGUUAGAGGUAAGUGGAAUUCCUAGUGUAGGAGUGAAAUCCGUAGAGAUUAGGAGGAAUAUCGAUGGCGAAGGCAGCUUACUGGGACAUUUCUGACGCUGAGAAACGAAAGCGUGGGUAGCAAACAGG